GAUGAACGCUAGCGGCAGGCCUAACACAUGCAAGUCGAGGGAGAAGCCUUCGGGCUGAAACCGGCGCACGGGUGCGUAACGCGUAUACAAUCUGCCUUUCACAUAGGGAUAGCCCGAAGAAAUUUGGAUUAAUACCUAAUGGUAUAUAAGAGCGGCAUCGUUUUUAUAUUAAAGCUACGGUGGUGAAAGAUGAGUAUGCGUUCUAUUAGCUAGUUGGAGAGGUAACGGCUCCCCAAGGCGACGAUAGAUAGGGGUUCUGAGAGGGAUGUCCCCCACACUGGUACUGAGAUACGGACCAGACUCCUACGGGAGGCAGCAGUGAGGAAUAUUGGACAAUGGUCGGAAGACUGAUCCAGCCAUGCCGCGUGCAGGAUGAAGGUCCUAUGGAUUGUAAACUGCUUUUGUAAGGGAAGAAUAAGAGCUACGUGUA
rnacentral:rRNA from 1 species